rnacentral:rRNA from 1 species
AACGAACGCUGGCGGCAUGCCUAACACAUGCAAGUCGAACGAGACCUUCGGGUCUAGUGGCGCACGGGUGCGUAACGCGUGGGAACCUGCCCUUAGGUUCGGAAUAACUCCCCGAAAGGGGUGCUAAUACCGGAUAAUGUCUUCGGACCAAAGAUUUAUCGCCUUUGGAUGGGCCCGCGUUGGAUUAGCUAGUUGGUAGGGUAAAAGCCUACCAAGGCGACGAUCCAUAGCUGGUCUGAGAGGAUGAUCAGCCACACUGGGACUGAGACACGGCCCAGACUCCUACGGGAGGCAGCGGUGGGGAAAAUGGGACAAGGGGCGAAAGCCUGCUCCAGCAAUGCCGGGGGGGGGAUGAAGGCCUUGGGGUUGUAAAGCUCUUUUACCCGGGAGUAAAAGAACGGAACGGGGAAAAAAAGCCCCGGCAAACCCGGG